GGCGCCAUGGCUUAGUUGGUAAAGUGCCUGUCUAGUAAACAGGAGAUCCUGGGUUCAAAUCCCAGUGGUGCCU
rnacentral:tRNA from 1 species